CAGAAACUCAAAUGAAUUGACGGGGCCCGCACAAGCGGAGGAACAUGUGGUUUAAUUCGAUGAUACGCGAGGAACCUUACCUGGGCUAGAACGCAUUCGGAAUCAGGCCGAAAGGCCUGCGCCAGCGAUGGCCGCUUGCGAGGUGCUGCAUGGUUGUCGUCAGCUCGUGCCGUGAGGUGUCGGGUUAAGUCCCAUAACGAGCGCAACCCCUACUGCUAGUUGCCAGCGGGUCAUGCCGGGGACUCUAGCGGAACUGCCAGCGUAAGCUGCGAGGAAGGUGGGGAUGACGUCAAAUCAGCACGGCCCUUACGUCCAGGGCUACACACGUGUUACAAUGGCCGGUACAGAGGGCAGCCACCCCGCGAGGGGGCGCGAAUCCCGAAAGCCGGUCCCAGUUCGGAUCGGAGUCUGCAACCCGACUCCGUGAAGCUGGAUUCGCUAGUAAUCGCGCAUCAGCCACGGCGCGGUGAAUACGUUCCCGGGCCUU
rnacentral:rRNA from 1 species